CCUACGGGAGGCAGCAGUGAGGAAUAUUGGACAAUGGACGAAAGUCUGAUCCAGCCAUGCCGCGUGCAGGAUGACGGCCCUAUGGGUUGUAAACUACUUUUAUACAGGAAGAAACACCCCCACGUGUGGGGGUUUGACGGUACUGUACGAAUAAGGAUCGGCUAACUCCGUGCCAGCAGCCGCGGUAAUACGGAGGAUCCAAGCGUUAUCCGGAAUUAUUGGGUUUAAAGGGUCCGCAGGCGGUCUAUUUAGUCAGAGGUGAAAUCCUACAGCUCAACUGUAGAAUGGCCUUUGAUACUGGUAGACUUGAGUCAUUGUGAAGUGGUUAGAAUGUGUGGUGUAGCGGUGAAAUGCUUAGAUAUCACACAGAAUACCCAUUGCGAAGGCAGAUCACUAACAAUGUACUGACGCUCAUGGACGAAAGCGUGGGGAGCGAACAGGAUUAGAUACCCUGGUAGUCCACGCCGUAAACGAUGGAUACUAACUGUUCGACCUUCGGGUUGAGUGGUCAAGCGAAAGUGAUAAGUAUCCCACCUGGGGAGUACGCUCGCAAGAGUGAAACUCAAAGGAAUUGACGG
rnacentral:rRNA from 1 species